AUCUAUCCGACCACAUGGCUUAUUACUACUAGUACCGGGGCCGGGCGGGUGGUCACGCAAAGAAGUCAGGCGCAUGAAGCAAAAGUGAGAAGAGCGGGGAGGCGAGGCGAUGACCAUCUCCACUCCCUCUCCUCCCUAGUAGUGUAUAAAAAGCCGGCGCCGGCCGUCGUCCCCUACCCACCCACCCACCCCGGGCCCCUCCUCCCGCUCC
rnacentral:lncRNA from 7 species